UACGUAGGUGGCAAGCGUUGUUCGGAAUUACUGGGCGUAAAGCGCGUGUAGGCGGCUCUUCAAGUCAGACGUGAAAGCCCCGGGCUUAACUCGGGAACUGCGUUUGAUACUGUCGAGCUAGAGUGUGGAAGGGGCGAUUGGAAUUCCGUGUGUAGCGGUGAAACGCGUAGAUAUACGGAGGAACACCAGGGGCGAAGGCGGAUCGCUGGGCCAACACUGACGCUGAGACGCGAAAGCUAGGGGAGCAAACGGG
rnacentral:rRNA from 1 species